ACGAGAAAGGAUGAGAAGAGGCAAAGAAGGCGGAAAAAAAAGAAACACUGCAGCCAAGCGAAGAGCCAGAGAGUGUGGGAAGGCGGUGCCGGCGACGCCAGUAUUUAUAGACCACCUUGGGAAAGACAGCAAACUGGGAAGAAUGCGUGUAGGCUCUGGCCCAGGCAGACCUGGGGUGAAUCCCAGUGUUCAGUGCUGCUUCUCAGCGGCUGUUGAACCCCAGAUGCUUCAAAAACCAAGAAAGUGUAAGAAGACGGUGAAGUGUUCCUCUCACCUGUCCUCCAUCCGCUCAAUUCUACCACGAAAGGCCUGUGGUUGCUAUCGGUGAACCGAGGUCUGCUCCGAUGCCCAAUGGCUUCUCGCAUGUGGCUGCAUUCCUCUCUGUGUCUCAUCUCUGUGAGCCCUGGGUCUGUGUGAGAGUGCGGUCUCUGAAGAGCAUGUCUCGAAAGGAGGCUGGGACGUGAGAAGACAUAACCUGCAAGGAGUAGAACCCCGUCAUAAACAGAAUGGAGCGCUCCAUCCACCCGUCCGUCCACUCAACAAACGGUCGGCAGCUGCUCUCUGCCAGGCACUCUGCCCGGGGGUGGGAUAGCGCAGCAAUGACAGGCAUUCACAUUCUGCAGAGAGCGAGGCAGAAAAUUAACAAACACACGAGAAAAUAUCAGAUUUUAAAGUAACCGCUACACCCAAUGUGAGGCUUGAACUUACAACCCUGAAUCAAGAGACACCUACUCUACCGACUGACCCAGCCAGGUGCUCCAACAAUGGAUAACUUUUUAACAGCCACCCGUGAGGAUACAUGCCUAUGCCUGGAAAGCGUCACAGCAUUGUGUGGCCGAGCCACAGAGGUGGCAGUUACGUGACCGUCUGAUGGACCACUAUUGACCAGGGAGCUCUCUCAGGGAGCCUUCUGGACAGUCAGCUGACAUAGACCCAGGGCCAUGGGCCGGGAGUGGGGCUUAGGCCAGGAGGCCUGAGAAAAGUGGGACAUCUCCAGGGUAGAUGCUGAGUUCAGCAACAACAACACGUACCACCUAGGCAGUCUGGCUCAUCACCAUGAGCAGCAGGAAGCUGCAGCUGCAAAAACGAACUUUUCUAGUUCGUAGUGAAAAGGGGGUGAGCACUUGCGUCAUUGAACAUCAAACAUAUCACAAACACGAGAGCUUAAUGGGGCCAGUGUGAUACUCAGGAAGAGGCAAUAAAAAAUUGGUAAGAAGGUAAGCAGAAGCAGAUAAACUAUUCCCUGUUGCGGAGGAACAGGAAUUCAUAAAAGAAUUCACUGGGUAUAAACUCACAUUUCUGUUUGAGAAAGCCGCGCAUUAUGUUGUGUAGUUUGUGUUUAGGAGUGUUUUAAAAAUUAUGU